rnacentral:rRNA from 1 species
GAGGCAUAUUGGUCAAUGGGCGCAAGCCUGAUGGAGCAACACCGCGUGAGUGAAGAAGGGUUUCGGCUCGUAAAGCCCUGUUGUUGGAGAAAAACGUGCGUGAGAGUAACUGUUCACGCAGUGACGGUAUCCAACCAGAAAGUCACGGCUUACUACGUGCCAGCCGGCGCGGUAAUACGUAGGUGGCAAGCGUUAUCCGGAUUUAUUGGGCGUAAAGCGAGCGCAGGCGGUUGCUUAGGUCUGAUGUGAAAGCCUUCGGCUUAACCGAAGAAGUGCAUCGGAAACCGGGCGACUUGAGUGCAGAAGAGGACAGUGGAACUCCAUGUGUAGCGGUGGAAUGCGUAGAUAUAUGGAAGAACACCAGUGGCGAAGGCGGCUGUCUGGUCUGCAACUGACGCUGAGGCUCGAAAGCAUGGGUAGCGAACAGG